UAGUGGCGAACGGGUGAGUAACACGUGGGCAAUCUGCCCUUCACUCUGGGACAAGCCCUGGAAACGGGGUCUAAUACCGGAUAACACCUGCCCGGGCAUCUGGGUGGGUUAAAAGCUCCGGCGGUGAAGGAUGAGCCCGCGGCCUAUCAGCUUGUUGGUGAGGUAGUGGCUCACCAAGGCGACGACGGGUAGCCGGCCUGAGAGGGCGACCGGCCACACUGGGACUGAGACACGGCCCAGACUCCUACGGGAGGCAGCAGUGGGGAAUAUUGCACAAUGGGCGAAAGCCUGAUGCAGCGACGCCGCGUGAGGGAUGACGGCCUUCGGGUUGUAAACCUCUUUCAGCAGGGAAGAAGCGAGAGUGACGGUACCUGCAGAAGAAGCGCCGGCUAACUACGUGCCAGCAGCCGCGGUAAUACGUAGGGCGCAAGCGUUGUCCGGAAUUAUUGGGCGUAAAGAGCUCGUAGGCGGCUUGUCACGUCGGGUGUGAAAGCCCGGGGCUUAACCCCGGGUCUGCAUUCGAUACGGGCUAGCUAGAGUGUGGUAGGGGAGAUCGGAAUUCCU
rnacentral:rRNA from 1 species